rnacentral:rRNA from 1 species
GAUGAACGCUGGCGGCGUGCCUAAUACAUGCAAGUCGAGCGAACGGACGAGAAGCUUGCUUCUCUGAUGUUAGCGGCGGACGGGUGAGUAACACGUGGAUAACCUACCUAUAAGACUGGGAUAACUUCGGGAAACCGGAGCUAAUACCGGAUAAUAUUUUGAACCGCAUGGUUCAAAAGUGAAAGACGGUCUUGCUGUCACUUAUAGAUGGAUCCGCGCUGCAUUAGCUAGUUGGUAAGGUAACGGCUUACCAAGGCAACGAUGCAUAGCCGACCUGAGAGGGUGGGCGGCCACACUGGGACUGAGACACGGUCCAAACUCCUACGGGAGGCAGCAGUAGGGAAUCUUCCGCAAUGGGCGAAAGCCUGACGGAGCAACGCCGCGUGAGUGAUGAAGGUCUUCGGAUCGUAAAACUCUGUUAUUAGGGAAGAACAUAUGUGUAAGUAACUGUGCACAUCUUGACGGUACCUAAUCAGAAAGCCACGGCUAACUACGUG